rnacentral:rRNA from 1 species
GAAAAGCACUCUGAAGAGAGAGUCAAAAGACCGUGAAACCGCUCAGAGUAUAAGCCAAUGGAGCUUGGAAGGCUUCCGCAGGUGAUGUCCAUCAUACGUGGUGUUCUUAAGACCUUGAGUGUGGCUCGUCAGGCGUAGCAUUGAGUUUGCCAGGUUUAGCUGUCGUGCGGGGGGUUCGGCUGGGAGGACUUCGGCUUCGGCCGGAGGGCUCUUCUGGUCGUCCCCUUUUGAAUGGACGUUCAGAACCUCUUGUGUCUAAUGCGGUUAUGCCCACCACAGCACGUUGUGAGGUCACCCACAGGCUCAACUGCCGAUCGCGCAUCCAGGACGAUGGCAACGAUGCGUUGUUGAUGAUGAUGGCUCGAGAGAGACCACACACACACGCGUGUCUAGUCCUGGGUCGGGCGGCGACCGAGAUAAACCUGGUACGAUCCUCUAGCGACGAGCUGCUUUCUGGCCAGACCGACGCCCAGGCGCUUCCACUGUGCCGGAAGCGUCAACCCCAGGCGGUGUGAACCCAGCUGCAUUAUGCAAGGUCUCUCAGCCGGGCGUUGGUCUGAGUGGUGUUAAGUCCAGCACCAUCGGUCACGUCUCGAAACACGGGCCAAGGAGUAUAGCAUGUGUGCAAGUCUAAGGGUCUCACAAAACCCGAAGGCGAAGUGAAAGCAAGACUGUGGCGGGGGAGCUACGGCGAACCCGCCGGCCUAGUGUGACGCGUGCGUCGCCUGGCUUUAACAGAGCUGAUCCUGUUUUCUCGGUUAAUUCUUGGUGCAGGCGCAAGCUCCGGGCUCACGUACAACACUGGUCACACGCCUCGCGUGUGUGGCUGUGUUGUGAGCACCGUGGAGCAUGCAUGCUAUGACCCGAAAGAUAGUGAACUAUGCCUGGCGAGGGCGAAGCCCCAGGAAACUGGGGUGGAGGCCCGUAGCCGUUGUGACGUGCAAAUCCAUGGUAUCAGCUGGGCAUAGGGGCGAAAGACCAAUCGAACUAUCUAGUAGCU